UACGUAGGAGGCAAGCGUUGUCCGGAAUCACUGGGCGUAAAGCGCGUGUAGGCGGAUCGCUAAGUCUGUGGUGAAGGCGCCUGGCUUAACCGGGCGAGGUCCAUGGAAACUAGCGGUCUGGAGGCCGGUAGAGGGGGGUGGAAUUCCGGGUGUAGCGGUGAAAUGCGUAGAUAUCUGGAGGACCACCGGUGGCGAAGGCGGCAUCCUGGACCGACACUGACGCUGAGGAGCGAAAGCCAGGGGAGCAAACGGG
rnacentral:rRNA from 1 species